CGGCAACAGCUCAAAUUUGAAAUCUGGCCCUUGGGUCCGAAUUGUAAUUUGUAGAGGAUGCUUUUGGUGCGGUGCCUUCCGAGUUCCCUGGAACGGGACGCCAUAGAGGGUGAGAGCCCCGUCUGGUUGGACGCCAAUCCUCUGUAAAGCUCCUUCGACGAGUCGAGUAGUUUGGGAAUGCUGCUCUAAAUGGGAGGUAUAUGUCUUCUAAAGCUAAAUACCGGCCAGAGACCGAUAGCGCACAAGUAGAGUGAUCGAAAGAUGAAAAGCACUUUGAAAAGAGGGUUAAAUAGUACGUGAAAUUGUUGAAAGGGAAGCGCUUGUGACCAGACUUGAGCCCGGUUAAUCAUCCAGCCUUCUGGCUGGUGCACUUGGCCGGCUCAGGCCAGCAUCAGUUCGGCGCGGGGGAUAAAGACUUCGGGAAUGUGGCUCCCCCGGGAGUGUUAUAGCCCGUUGUGCAAUACCCUGUGCUGGACUGAGGUUCGCGCAUCUGCAAGGAUGCUGGCGUAAUGGUCAUCAGCGACCCGUCUUGAAACACGGACCAAGGAGUCGUCUUCGUAUGCGAGUGUUCGGGUGUCAAACCCCUACGCGUAAUGAAAGUGAACGCAGGUGAGAGCUUCGGCGCAUCAUCGACCGAUCCUGAUGUUCUCGGAUGGAUUUGAGUAAGAGCAUACGGAGCCGGACCCGAAAGAAGGUGAACUAUGCCUGUAUAGGGUGAAGCCAGAGGAAACUCUGGUGGAGGCUCGCAGCGGUUCUGACGUGCAAAUCGAUCGUCAAAUAUGGGCAUGGGGGCGAA
rnacentral:rRNA from 1 species